rnacentral:sRNA from 1 species
GGGGUAGGGCACCCCUUUGACACCCCUGGCUGGUCUCAGGCCCUGCCUCUUUCCCCACUAGGUGGGUUCAGUGGAAGAAUUCCAAGGCCAAGAACGAAGCGUCAUCCUCAUCUCCACCGUGCGAAGCAGUCAGAGCUUUGUGCAGCUGGAUCUGGACUUUAAUCUGGGUUUCCUUAAGAACCCCAAGAGGUUCAAUGUAGCUGUGACCCGGGCCAAGGCCCUGCUCAUCAUCGUGGGGAACCCCCUUCUCCUGGGCCAUGACCCUGACUGGAAAGUAUUCCUGGAGUUCUGUAAAGAAAACGGAGGGUAUACCGGGUGUCCCUUCCCUGCCAAACUGGACCUGCAACAGGGACAGAAUUUACUGCAAGGUCUGAGCAAGCUCAGCCCCUCUACCUCAGGGCCCCAUAGUCAUGACUACCUCCCCCAGGAGCGGGAGGGUGAAGGGGGCCUGUCUCUGCAAGUGGAGCCAGAGUGGAGGAAUGAGCUCUGAAGACACAGCACCCAGCCUUCUCGCACCAGCCAAGCCUUAACUGCCUGCGUGACCCUGAACCAGAACCCAGCUGAGCCGCCCCUCCAAGGGACAGGAAGGCUGGGGGAGGGAGUUUACAACCCAAGCCAUUCCACCCCCUCCCCUGCUGGGGAGAAUGACACAUCAAGCUGCUAACAAUUGGGGGAAAGGGGAGGAAGAAAACUCUGAAAACAAAA